rnacentral:rRNA from 1 species
UACGGAAGGCAGCAGUGGGGAAUAUUGGACAAUGGGCGAAAGCCUGAUCCAGCCAUGCCGCAUGAGUGAAGAAGGCCUUCGGGUUGUAAAGCUCUUUUAGUGAGAAAGAUAAUGACGGUACUCACAGAAGAAGUCCUGGCUAACUCCGUGCCAGCAGCCGCGGUAAUACGGAGGGGCUAGCGUUAUUCGGAAUUAUUGGGCGUAAAGAGCGCGUAGGCUGAUUAGUAAGUUAAAAGUGAAAUCCCAAAGCUUAACUUUGGAAUUGCUUUUUAAAACUGCUAGUCUAGAGAUUGAAAGAGGAUAGAGGAAUUCCUAGUGUAGAGGUGAAAUUCGUAAAUAUUAGGAGGAACACCAGUGGCGAAGGCGUCUAUCUGGUUCAAAUCUGACGCUGAGGCGCGAAGGGCGUGGGGAGCAAACAGGGAUUAGAUACC